rnacentral:rRNA from 1 species
GAUCCUGGCUUAGGAUGAACGCUAGCGACAGGCUUAACACAUGCAAGUCGAGGGGCAGCGCGGAGGUAGCAAUACCUUGGCGGCGACCGGCGCACUGGUGAGUAACACGUAUGCGACCUGCCCCGGACAGGGGGAUAAACCCGGGAAACUGGGCCUAAUACCCCCAUAUGCCUUUUGGAUGCAUGUCCAUGAGGUGAAAGAUCCGUCGGUCCGGGAUGGGCAUGCGGCGCAUUAGCUAGUUGGCGGGGCAACGGCCCACCAAGGCGACGAUGCGUAGGGGUUCUGAGAGGAAGGUCCCCCCACACUGGUACUGAGACACGGACCAGACUCCUACGGGAGGCAGCAGUGAGGAAUAUUGGUCAAUGGGCGAUAGCCUGAACCAGCCAAGUCGCGUGCGGGAUGAAGGCCCUCCGGGUCGUAAACCGCUUUAGCCGGGGAGUAACGUGUGGGACGUGUCCCGCAGUGAGAGUACCCGGAGAAUAAGCAUCGGCUAACUCCGUGCCAGCAGCGGC